ACCAAUUUAAAGCUUUGGGAUUUCCUACUCCUCUUCCUCUGGGCGAACUCCAUGGGAUUCUCGCAGCGAUGUGUCCGCUGGUGUCAUGGACCGAGGCCUGGAGAAGAGCGCCGAGCCGCCAGCUGGGCUGAGGGAUGUUGAGCUUUGCUAAACCUGGAUCGCCUUAGCAAGGGGAAGAGAGUCCCUCGGCCAAAAACUGGAUCUCCUUAGCAAGAGGAAGAGAGUCUCGGCUCUCCGGAGGAGCGAGAUUUAGGGCGUCUGGCAGCCCUCCCGACGGUCACCGUGAGGUCACUGCAGCCAUACGGCUGGCCCAAGCACAGCUGAAAUUAGUGCUUUGAUUUAUUCACCACUUGACGCCUUCAGCCACACUUCCAGUUAGCUCACUGUGCUAAAUUCACUGAGGGUGGAGUGGUUUUUUUUUACAGCCAAGAGUGCUUUUUGCCUGUUGCCUGUAGAGAAAGGACCCAGGCGUUUACAGUUAUGACUACUGAUAACUGCAAACACAGCUCCGAUCAUCAUCUUGUGUUUUACAUGUAGUCAGACUGUGUUGUGACAAGGAGAAGACUAUGUGAUACUUGCAUACGCCUACUUGAACAGAUGCAAAUGCAGAUCUUGCCUUGGUCUCCUCAGAGUACCCAGGAGAAUCCCGUUAGCUCCAGUAAUACUGACCGACCCUAUCACUCGGAAUAAUGACAUAAAAUGAGCAGGAGGGAAGCAAAUGGAAUACUAACAGUAGUGAUUUGUAUCCUAACUGUGUGCAUAGACACAGUCAGACCUGAAUUCUUCCGUGCAAGGUGCUGUCCAGACACCACACAGAGAGUACACGUGGUUCUGAAAGCAGAAUUGGGAAAUAGCCUUUAUGGUGAAGCAAUAUCAGAAAAUAUGCCUAAUGGUAAAAUUUAUUAUAUGCUGGAAAAUUAAAUUCACGAGGGAGGUUAUGGAAACCUCACAGAUUGGGUAGGGGUGUAAUUUUCUAUUAAAUUGCUAAGUGGAAAAUCCCAGAGGCAAUCAAUAUGCUACUUUUGGAAUUUUCCUAAACUUCUCUGUAAGACUUUGUGAAAGGAAACUGGGCUAAUGUACUAUUUUAAAUCCUGCAUUAUAUAUUUUUGGGAGGAUGCUGAAGCAGCAAAGGUAGAUGGAUGUCAUAUGCUGUUUGCUGGAUUUCGUGGGUCCAAUUAAUCUCUGGUACAGUCGGGUCUGAAGUCGAGUCUGAAAUGGAGCAGCAGUGUGCCUAAAUUUUUAAUUUUUCCUACAAAAAGAGUAUUUUUUUUUCCCCCCUCCCCAAACAGUCUGCUAAUUCCUGUCUGCUAGCUAACUUUAUUUACAGGACUUAGAGUGUUGCUGAAACUGUUGUGUUUGACCCU